AAUACACCCUCACAGGUGACCAAGGGCAGUACCGUCGCCAGGUGGCCACACAGCCCCCUCCUCAUACUGCUGGUGAACCUCAGCGUGACAGAUGAUCUCACUAAGGUUACAGGUCAGAGAGAUUACCUGUAUUUACAUCUAAGAUCUCUCGAUGGACGGCACUUGGAACUGAAUCCUGAGACGAAUCAUCUUGGCAGCGCGAGACUCAAGGGACGAGGCUGAUAUGAUUGUGUGUGGCGUAAAUAUAUCACGCCGCUGCCUCUAUGUAUUUACAGAACAAGCCAGCGCCAAGUACACGAGUUGGGACGAAACGACACCGUGACGCAGUGGGCCUCUGGUCUCGUGGAGAGUGAUCUGCCGUAAGAGGAAGAAUGCACGUGAGUUUUGUCCUGGCCGCGGAAUUCCGGAUAACGCAGGUGUCUGGGAGAGUGGAUGAUCAGCCAGGACUGAGUAGAUGCUGAGUCUCGGGAGUGAACUGUGUGGUGCAGGACCGUAUCGGUUAUGCAGUCUCUUUUAACGAGAGACAUCGUGGAGGAGGCAGGCGAGUGCUCUCAACACACGUGACGGAGCGGCGCCAUGGUAACUGUCACCGUGGCCAGGAAGUCUCUUGUGCUGAACACUGCAAUGUUGUGUUAUCAAGACUGUGUAUUGGUGCAGCGCAUACAGUCGGAUCACUAAGCGUGUUGUAGUGAUGAAACUAUGGAAACUAUGGCGAAUGAUUAUUGAUCGUUGGAAAAAAGCAUAGGUGUGAUAAUAAUUCGGUGCUUGAGUUACACUAACACUCCAUCACUACCGCCACCACGGCCAUCACCACCGCCAUAACCACCGCCGCUACUAAGAGUUGGAUCAGCAGAGGAGCCGACACCGCACAACUCGGCGCUCUUCCCCUGUGCCUGAGCAACACUGCGCUGACACGUCUGUCCGAUGCAGGGAGGAGACAGCAAGCGAGAGGCGAGGCUUGGCGGAGUUUUGACAUGCUAAGCAGUUAGUGUUCUUAAUAAGGAUCCAUGUCGGGGCAUCAUGAGAGAAAACAGCUUGUAUGCUGUCAUACGGACGCGGCGCUCACAACUUGGAAUCUCAAACAAGCCUCUCCCACACCCACCUCUAAUAUCUUCCACCACGGUGACAGAGAGAGAGAGAGAGAGAGAGAGAGAGAGAGAGAGAGAGAGAGAGAGAGAGAGAGAGAGAGAGAGAGAGAGAGAGAGAGAUUAGAUUAGAUUAGAUUAAAUUGUUUAUUAUCCACCAAAGUGGUUGUUACACAUUUUACAAGUAGUCAAGUAUACAAAUAUGAUUUAAUACCGGUGAUAUUUAACAAUGUAAAUACAAUAAAGUUGAGGAUCACUCGUCUAUAAUAGAUGCACCACAAAAAUGCUAAGUUAACGUACAUACACUGGUACACUUACAAUGAAAACAUCAAGGUGAAACAAACCUAACUAAAUAUAUUUUUGGCUAUUUUAUUUAUUUAUUUUAUUUUAUUUUUUUCAAGUCCAGCCUUAAAAGAGUUUAUAGAUGUGUCCUGUGUGAGGGAGAGCGGGAGAGAGUUCCACACUGUGGUUCCCAAUAUGACAGUGCGCCUAUCAGCAGAGAGUGUGUAGGUGGCCGGUACAAGCAACCUGUGCCUGUGUCUUGUGACGCUACUGGUGAUGGCUUGCCUGUUACAUAGUGAUAAAAACUAUUUUGGAUGAAACCCUCGUAAAAUCUUAAAUAUUGUUGUAGCCACUUGUAAAACAUGUCUGUGCUUUAUUCGUAGCCAUUGGAGUUCUUUAUAAAAUGGAGACACGUGAUCAUAUUUCUUAACUCCACCUAUGGCAACCCUUCCUGCAGCAUUCUGUAACUUUUGCACACCAGACAUUAAUGCAUCAUUUGUAGUCCCCAUAUUCUAAUACAACAGUUAAUUAAGGUUAAUACAAGGGCCUGUGUCACCAUGAUCCUGCUGUCCUUAUCUGGGUUUUCACUAAUUCAACUUACAUACAUUAAAAUACCCACCACUUUCCUUUUCAGCUCAUUAAUAUGGACGUCAAAAAGCAAGUAACUAUCCAAGCAAACUCACAAGUUUUUCACGUGCUUACUUGGAUGUAUUACAUUUCCAUUAACAUUCACAGUCGUGUUUGGGGGAGUGUGAGAUAAAAGCUGGCGAUUACCUAUAAAAACACACUGAGUCUUGGAAGAAUUAAACAUGAGACCAUUGUUUAGUUACAACAUCGGGAUCACCAUUUUUAUACAGGGGGACAACCAGUGCAUGUUUCCAUGACUCGGGGAACACGCCAGUCACCAAGGACAUGCUGAUGAUACAGCUGAGGAGAGGACAGUGACACAGAGCGCAUCCCGGACAAACUUUAAUGCUAUUCCGUCCGACCCGAUGGAGUUGGUUACAUCGAGGUCUUUAACGGUUAAGAUAAGGGUGUCAGCGUCCACGGGCUCAGGUCUACAAGCAGAGUUCACUUUAAUGGUAUUUACUUGAGGAUGAUGAACAGUUACUACUACCCCUUCACUUCUUAGUUCUUCCUGAGAACGUCUGAAAGUAGUCUCCCCAACAUUUGAAAAGAAUUUAUUGAAGUCAGUUUUUCAUUUACGUUACCAAAAUUGUGAGUAUCAUGUUUUUUUUUUUUCUGAUUAGGAAUAAUUUCCUCAGUAACUUUCCAUGUUGCAGAGAUAUUUCCUUUACAAUCUUUUAGACGACCUUGAUAAUGCUCUGCCUUAGAGGUAUUAAUGAGUGCUUUGAUAUGCUUUAGCAGCUUUAUAACGUUCCCUCAAUCCAACGUUAUUUGUACCGACUUUUAACUCUCUUUGCAACCUAUUACGUUCCUCCUUUGCCUCACGAACAUCGCCACUCAUCCAUGGUGCUAGUGUGCCUUUCACAGCUUUAGUCACAACAGGGGCACACACAUCAAGAGGAAAACUAAAAACCUCAUUAAAAAUAUACACUUAUUUGUUAAGGUCGUCAGUUAAAAACACAUUAUUGAUACAAUACACAUUGUAUAAAAGCAGCAAACAGAAAGUGUCUUUAUCACAGUGCUUCAGAUCAGGGAGGCUUUUUAUCACCGGUAUUUUGCGAGGUUUUCUUACAUUUAUAGCGACGGACACGAGAUCAUGAUCUGCAAUUAACUGAGGGACCACGUCAAGGGAUAAAACUACCUCAGGUUUAUUAGUGAUAAUAAGAUCCAGUAGAGUAGCUCAAUGUCAGGUUUUUCUUGUGGGUUUAUCAAUAAAACUGAAUCAACUUAU